rnacentral:tRNA from 1 species
GGAGAUGUAGCUCAAUGGUAGAGCAUAUACCUGCCUAGCGUGUACCAAGUCCUGGCUUUGAACCCAGCAUCUCUC